rnacentral:rRNA from 1 species
AGAAUCAACGCUGGCGGCGUGCCUAACACAUGCAAGUCGCACGAGAAAGGGGAGCAAUCCCUGAGUAAAGUGGCGCACGGGUGAGUAACACGUGAAUAAUCUACCUCCGAGUGGGGAAUAACUGAGAGAAAUCUUAGCUAAUACCGCAUAAUACCCACGGGUCAAAGCAGCAAUGCGCUUGGAGAGGAGUUCGCGGCCGAUUAGUUAGUUGGCGGGGUAAUGGCCCACCAAGACGAUGAUCUGUA